rnacentral:rRNA from 1 species
GAAUUUUGGACAAUGGGGGCAACCCUGAUCCAGCAAUGCCGCGUGUGUGAAGAAGGCCUUCGGGUUGUAAAGCACUUUUGUCAGGAACGAAACGCGCUGAGCUAAUACCUCGGCGUAAUGACGGUACCUGCAGAAUAAGCACCGGCUAACUACGUGCCAGCAGCCGCGGUAAUACGUAGGGUGCGAGCGUUAAUCGGAAUUACUGGGCGUAAAGCGUGCGCAGGCGGUUGUGCAAGACAGAUGUGAAAUCCCCGGGCUCAACCUGGGAAUUGCAUUUGUGACUGCACGGCUAGAGUGUGUCAGAGGGGGGUAGAAUUCCACGUGUAGCAGUGAAAUGCGUAGAUAUGUGGAGGAAUACCGAUGGCGAAGGCAGCCCCCUGGGAUAACACUGACGCUCAUGCACGAAAGCGUGGGGAGCAAACAG